rnacentral:ncRNA from 1 species
GGCCCAAAGCGGUUCAUAAGAGACGUCGCUUUUUUGAUCCUUUCGAUGUCGGCUCCUUCCUAUCAUUGCGAAGCAAAAUUCGCCAAGCGUCGGAUUGGUUCACCCGCUUAAGGGAACGUGAGCUGGGUUUAGACCGUCGUGAGACAGGUUUAGUUUUACCCUACUGAUGCAAGGUCGCACGCGAUCGAAAACCGCCUUUACGGCGGCAGUCGUUACGAUAGUAAUCCUGCCCAGUACGAGAGGAACGGCAGGUUCGGACAUUUGGUUCGGCACUCGCCCGAGCGGGCGUUGGUGCGAGGCUACCAUCCGUUGGAUUACGCCUGAACGCCUCUAAGGCCGUAUCCACUCUGGAGAAAACAGCCGGGCCGGCUUUCGGGCCGGUCUCGGGAAAACGAUCGUCCGUACGGCGGAGGAGAACCCAGUAUACAUCGGGAAGGCGUCAAAGCACGGACCUUCGGGUCCACGACGAGCCGGAUUCUCGGCCGCGCGGGCUCUCGGGCCCGCUGGCCGUGCAUCAACGGUGAACGCGGUGAUCCCGCGGCAAACGGUGUGGGUUUUCGGAAUCGUCUGCAGACGACUUAAGUACCGGGCUGGGUGUUGUACUCGGCAGAGCAGUUACCACGCUGCGAUCUGUUAAGACUGCCCUUUGCCUCGGGGGUUCGU